CCUACGGGAGGCAGCAGUGGGGGAUAUUGCACAAUGGGGGAAACCCUGAUGCAGCGACGCCGCGUGUGGGAAGACGGUCCUCUGGAUUGUAAACCACUGUCCCCAGGGACGAAGAUGACGUUACCUGGGGAGGACGCUCCGGCUAACUACGUGCCAGCAGCCGCGGUAAUACGUAGGGAGCGAGCGUUGUCCGGAAUUACUGGGUGUAAAGGGAGCGUAGGCGGGACUGCAAGUUGGGUGUAAAAUCUACCGGCUCAACCGGUAGCCGCACUCAAAAAUGCAGUUCUGGAGUGAAGUAGAGGCAGGCGGAAUUCCUAGUGUAGCGGUGAAAUGCGUAGAUAUUAGGAGGAACACCAGUGGCGAAGGCGGCCUGCUGGGCUUUGACUGACGCUGAGGCUCGAAAGUGUGGGGAGCAAACAGGAUUAGAUACCCCUGUAGUC
rnacentral:rRNA from 1 species